CACCCGUUCCCAUGCCGAACACGGAAGUUAAGCUCUUCAGCGCCGAUGGUAGUUGGGGGCUCUCCCCCUGUGAGAGUAGGACGCCGCCAGGC
rnacentral:rRNA from 1 species